AGAGUUUGAUCCUGGCUCAGAUUGAACGCUGGCGGCAUGCCUUACACAUGCAAGUCGAACGGCAGCGCGGGCUUCGGCCUGGCGGCGAGUGGCGAACGGGUGAGUAAUAUAUCGGAACGUACCCAGAAGUGGGGGAUAACGUAGCGAAAGUUACGCUAAUACCGUAUACGAUCUACGGAUGAAAGUGGGGGACCGCAAGGCCUCAUGCUUUUGGAGCGGCCGAUAUCUGAUUAGCUAGUUGGUGAGGUAAUGGCUCACCAAGGCGACGAUCAGUAGCUGGUCUGAGAGGACGACCAGCCACACUGGAACUGAGACACGGUCCAGACUCCUACGGGAGGCAGCAGUGGGGAAUUUUGGACAAUGGGCGCAAGCCUAAUCCAGCAAUGCCGCGUGAGUGAAGAAGGCCUUCGGGUUGUAAAGCUCUUUUGUCAGGGAAGAAACGGCCGAGGCUAAUAUCCUCGGCUAAUGACGUACC
rnacentral:rRNA from 1 species